CUCUUAAUUACUAUACUGUGAUUUUGAGAGAAAGGAUUUUACUAUUACAUACCUCAAAAGCACCGGUCGAAUCGAUUCGAGCCAGUGGUCGUUAUGAUUUUAUUGUUGAACAUGAUGUGAAAGAACUCGGAGCUCAUAUGUGAAUUUUUCUUUUUAAUCUAAUGCGCGCGCGUGAUGCACAUACAGUGGUUUUGUUGUUUGAUGGUAGUGUGUGGUGUUGUGAUCUGUAGGUUGGUUUGUACUGCAUUGUAUAGUGAUGGUAAUGGUGAAAGGAAGUAUCUUCCGCAGUUAUUCAAGUUUAUUGUUGCUAAUUCGCUUUCACGUAGGACUAAGGUCCGCGUUUUCAAGGAAACUACAUACUUGGAGGCAUGCAUUGAGAGUCACACAAAUACAAAUCUUUAUAUGGACCAAGUUGAGUUUGAGCCUGCUCCAAAUUGGAUGCAAAAAUUCUAAAAGCUGAUAAACAAAAAUCUGAGGAUGAUUCUCCAUCCAUGGAAAUAUUCAAGCCACCUGUCCUUGUUACAUCUGAUGGAGGAAUUCACAUCUAUCUUUACCCAUUGUCAUUGUCUUCGCAUGGUUCACACACAGCAAUGUUCUUGGUAAGUUUUGGAUAACAUGGCGCACAAAUUUAGGUGAACCCAGUUGCUUACAGAUACAGCAAAUACUUGGCACUGUGAGUGUGUUGCUAUGGUAG